rnacentral:rRNA from 1 species
CGCGGCCUAUCAGCUUGUUGGUGGGGUAACGGCCUACCAAGGCUCCGACGGGUAGCCGGCCUGAGAGGACGAUCAGCCACACUGGGACUGAGACACGGCCCAGACUCCUACGGGAGGCAGCAGUUAGGAAUCUUGCACAAUGGGGGAAACCCUGAUGCAGCGACGCCGCGUGCGGGACGAAGGCCCUCGGGUCGUAAACCGCUUUCAGCAGGAACGAAAUUGACGGUACCUGCAGAAGAAGCCCCGGCCAACUACGUGCCAGCAGCCGCGGUAAUACGUAGGGGGCAAGCGUUGUCCGGAUUCAUUGGGCGUAAAGAGCUCGUAGGCGGUUCAGUAAGUCAGGUGUGAAAUCUCCGCGCUCAACGCGGAGCGGCCACCUGAUACUGCUGUGACUCGAGUCCGGUAGGGGAGUGUGGAAUUCCCGGUGUAGCGGUGAAAUGCGCAGAUAUCGGGAGGAACACCAGUGGCGAAGGCGGCACUCUGGGCCGUGACUGACGCUGAGGAGCGAAAGCGUGGGUAGCAAACAGGAUUAGAUACCCUGGUAGUCCACGCCGUAAACGUUGGGCACUAGGUGUGGGUCUCUAUCGACGGGAUCCGUGCCGUAGCUAACGCAUUAAGUGCCCCGCCUGGGAGUACGGA